GAGUAUGGGCUUGUUAGAUGUGGAGAGCAAUAGAGUAUGGGACCUUGAUGGGACCCUAUUCCCAGGUAAUGCAUCAAAGUAAUUUUCUAUUUAUUAUCACUUUUCAGAUAUGUGGAGACCUUGAUGGGCCGGCGACGUUUUCUUACAAAAAUAAUGGCUGGCAAUGGCAAAGAGAAAGCUAAAGCACAGAGACAAGCAGUAAAUUCUAUUUGCCAGGUAAUAAGAGCAUUCUCACAUGUUUUAGAUGCUUCAUCUUGUUGAAUAUAUGAUUAAUAUGCACUUGUUUCCAGGGUUCUGCUGCUGAUAUUAUCAAGGUGGCUAUGAUUAGAGUUCAUUCGUUAAUUACCAACAGAAUGAAGGAAGAUGAUUCAACUGAUGAAGUUACGAGGAACUUUUCAGAAAUCGGUGGGAAGUGUCACCUAAUUUUGCAGGUAUUUUAUGACACUGAAAUGAUAUUGAUUUUCCUUGAUUUUUUUUUUCUGUUUGGCUUUUAAAUGUGGAUGUAUAUAAGUACUUUUUUUCUUUGUAGGUGCAUGAUGAAUUGGUAUUGGAAGUUGAUCCAUGUAUGGUAGCACAGGCUGGAAGGCUAUUACAGAUAUGUAUGGAGGAAGCAGCUUCACUCUUGGGUAUCACUUUUAAUCUGAAUUUAGAUGGUUGGGCUUGUUUCAGUUCUUCAAAACCAAGCUAAAAUGGAAUUGCUGCUUGCUUUUGUUUCAGUACCUUUGCGCGCAAAAAUUAAGGUUGGAAAAACUUGGGGUUCUCUAGAACCCUUCUAUCCUGAGCCUCGUUGAUGCAAUGUUGAAUACCACUUGGACUAAACUCCAUGGAAGCAGACUUUUCAUGACAUGUAAGGGCCAAGAUGAUGUUUCUGUAAGCAGGUUGAGCAAGUUCCAACGUGCCUUGCCGAGGCCAUGGUUUUAACUCUUCUCUGUCUACAGAAUUCAGUUUGUUUCUAAAAUUACCUGCUCUAAAUCUCCAACUUACUAUCUUGGUUACAGAAAAUUCACCUGCACUACCAAUAUCAUGGAGCUUGCCGGUUCACACUGGCAUCUUAUUCUGCAUUAUCUAUGCAUUCAACAAGAAGAAUGGCUGUGGCUGUGGUCCAUUUGUGCCUUCAGCUUUGAACUUGCCGUUGCAUGGUUGGCUUACCAGUUUGCUAGGUACGUUUGUUUUUGGAAAUUAGUCUACUUGUUUAUUCUCACGAUCUCUUAGCUAGAAACUUCAACUGAACCAGGUGACCCUUUCUGGCGUUGCAACAGUUGAGUUGAUCCAUUUCCGUUGCUAUGGUUGCACUGUCUUCUUUCAUCACUGAUUGUAUGUGAAAUCAAGGGUACAAUGACUAGCUGGAUUAUUGAGGACAAGGCAUGAAAGACCAGUGGUAAUGAUUGAUGGUACAUGUCGCAUGCGGCAAGCGGGCUAUUGCCAACUGGUCUUUCAAAUAUCAUCUGAUCCACAUAUGCCAAGUAUGGGACAUGCUGGCAUCAAUUGGGGCAUGCAGCCCGUCAAGGUUCGUGGAUGUUGUAUAUGAGUUACUGGAAGUGAAGGAAAAAAUUUUCUGGCGUGUACAUUUCUUCUGAGAUCAUCAACAUGUAUAUAACCAGAAAUUUGUAAAGGUUUCGUUUACCAUGCAAGCAUGUACAGGGCGUAUGUUUGCUUUCUUGUAAAUUUUGUGUGCUAUUUUUGAAAGCGGGGCAGGCUCUAAAACCAGGAAGCCUACAAUUUCACCCAGUUUCCUGUUGUAUUUCGUUUUGGAUUUAUUUUGGACCAGUAAUUUUUCAUAAUAAAAUCCAGUGAAAGUAUGGUUUGGGUGGUCUGAUGCAUAUUAUUGCAUACAUUUUCUUGACUUAAUAGCUAGCCUUUUACUUGAAUAAGUUUUGCAAAUGCACGAUAUUCGUUUUUAUAUGAGAGCUGCGUUUUUGUUAGUGUUUGCAUAUAUUUCACGUGUUGUCUCUGCGGUUCAAAUUCGUCCGGUCCAACAAAUUUGCCCUGCCAAAUAUUUAUUACUGAAAACCACAGAUUGGAUGUAUUCGCUUCCAACAUCGAACGUUGGAAUGUCCGAAGCUUGGUUUGCAAACUCCAAAACUGUUGGAAGGCACAAAUAAGCCGAUUGGUUGUCUUGUCUUUCCCUUGCAUCGACAUGGACUCGUGUGCACGUACUCUUUGCAUAUGCCUUUCACAGGAUACGCUCAUACGCAGAUGCUUUGUUGCCGUUUGUAUUGUACCUGACCGGGACUGUCUGGUUCGUAUGAGGUUGGAUGGAGGCAAAUCAUCUCUCGCCUGUGGACCACCAGCUCCUCUCCUCUCAUUAAUUGGUUGGCGCCUGCAUCCCGUAUACAGCAAAGGUGCAUCAGACGACGACAGAGCAGCUGACGCCGCAUGAGCUAGCCACAAACGUUUGGACUGUCCAACAGCAGCCACUCCUGCCAUAUCCUGACAUCCCCUCUGGUUUGGUUAUAUGUGCCCCUUGCCACAAGCCUCAACUCAAGCUACUGAGGCUUCAGUUUUAUUCGCUAGCUUGGUCUCUAGUAAGCCAUGGCCCCCACCGCGAUGGCCGCCGCCACCUCCGUCGCUCCAUUCCAGGGGCUCAAGUCCACCGCCAGACUCCCCGUCAGCCGCCGCUCCAGCAGCUCCGGCUUCGGCAACGUCAGCAACGGCGGAAGGAUCAGGUGCAUGCAGGUAACAAUCGAUCGAUCUUUUUUUUAAGACGCGCAAUAGCAUGUUUUUCGUUAAGUAGAGAGAAACAGAGUACAUACAGAGCAUGCACGACCGAAUAAACAGCUCGACAAUCGAUCUGAGUUAAAUGCAACUGAGUAGUAGGAAGUCAGGAACUGAUGCAUGGGUAUUGUUAAUUGCUCAGGUGUGGCCGGCGGAGGGCAACAAGAAGUUCGAGACCCUCUCCUACCUGCCACCUCUCUCCACGGACGAGGUCCUAAAGCAGAUCGACUACCUGAUCCGGAAGAACUGGAUUCCCUGCCUCGAGUUCAGCAAGAUCGGGUUCGUCUAUCGUGAGAACAGCACGUCUCCCUGUUACUACGACGGGCGCUACUGGACCAUGUGGAAGCUGCCCAUGUUCGGCUGCACCGAGGCCACCCAGGUGUACGCUGAGUUCGAGGAGUGCAAGAAGGCCUACCCCGACUGUUACAUCCGUAUCAUCGGCUUCGACAACAUCAAGCAGGUGCAGUGCGUCAUGUUCAUCGCCUACAAGCCCCCAGGCUCCGAGUAAGACCGGCGGCGCCAAAUAAGCUUAUCGCGCGGACCGCUCGCUCGUGAGCGACCGUGGAUGAAGUGUCUACUCGGUUUUGGCAACUUAAUUAUUUGACGCUCUGUUUAAAGUCGCCUGCUUGUUAAUUCCCUUUCUUUUCGUGUUUCCGUCCUGUGUGUAUGUACGAAUGUACAUGUAUCAACGUAGGCUGAGGAGCAUGCAUAUGUGAAUGCUAGCGCCGGCUAAACUUAUACGCAUACACAUCGUAAUAUAUUGUAUACGCAAUUCCUCCACUGCCUCAUCUUCUUGACGUAUAAUUAUAUAUCUAUGUACUAUCGGCUUGUUUGGUUGGAUGUAAUUGGUGGGUGGGAAAAAGAGUUUAGAUGCGAGAGAUUAAAAUUCUAUUAUUUGUUUAGUGGGCCUGGAAGUUUUAAUGGGACGAGAAAUGCCCACCAAUCAAUUCCCAUGGGGAGGGUGAGAAUUUGUUUUUUAAAAAGUAGAAGAUAAAUGCAUUUACAUUAUUAAUCAUGACUUAAUAUAUAACUAGCAAAAUGCCCGUGCAUUGCUAUGGUAAAAUAAUGCUAAUUGUAUUUUUAAAAACUUGUGGAUUUUUUCUGUUUCUACCACUAUAUGUUUAUUGCAUUUAGUGGAUCUAUACAUACAUCCUUAUACUCAAAAAAUCAUAUAUCCUUAUACUCAAAUAAUCAUUCAUUUCUAUCUUUUUAAUUUAUACAAGAGAUUUUCUAAGAUAAAAAAAUAGAUACAACGAUAUUGCACCCUACAAUGUAAGCAUAACUCUAAUUGUUUGUACCCUCUUAUCCGAAUUGAUGAAUACUAUAUUUCAUAUGGUCGAGCCUAGCUAACACCUGCUAGCUGAGUGUAACGUACACGUGUUAGCAGGCGUGAACACGUUCUAUUCAUUUCAAUCCAAAUGAUCCUUAAAGUUUGAAAACUAAACAUGUAGCAAAAAAAAUUUAAAAACAAUUAGCAUCAUGUGUGGAUGCAUGCACAAAAUUUGUGAGUCAAGAUUUUUUUUUAUACCAAGGAAAUAAAGGAACGUUACAUAUGACAGAUUUUAGUAAUUUGCUAAAUUAUUUGUAAUGCUCAAACAUUCAAAUAAAAAAUGUGCACCUACCACACAAGGGGAAUUUUCACCUCUAAACCCCCACGCCAAACAAAGGAUAUAAAGUCUCACUUAAACUCCCUGUUAAUUUCCUCCAAAAGACAAACAAGGGAAUGAGUAUUCCCAAGUGAAUCCCCUCCACCAGCUCUUACCACAAGUUCACAUGCCCCAUCCCAUUCAUUGCCAAUAGUACCCUAUAUGUAUUA
rnacentral:lncRNA from 1 species